rnacentral:piRNA from 1 species
UGCUCCGUCCUGACUCACCGCUGUUC